rnacentral:rRNA from 1 species
CUGUAUGAAUGGCAUAACGAGGGUUUAACUGUCUCCCUCCCCCAGUCAAUGAAAUUGAUCUGCCCGUGCAGAAGCGGACAUAAACACAUAAGACGAGAAGACCCUAUGGAGCUUUAGACAAAAGAUCAAACAUGUAAAGAAACCAAACCAACCAAAAGGAACACAAAGGCCACAAAACCCAACGUAAAAUGAUCAAAAUGUCUUCGGUUGGGGCGACCAUGGGGGAAAGAAAAGCCCCCACGAGGAACUAAGGGCAAUCCAUUAAGCCAAGAGAUACACCUCUAAGCAACAGAAAAUCUGACCAAAAAUGACCCAGGACACUAAUCCUGAUCAACGAACCAAGUUACCCUAGGGAUAACAGCGCAAUCCUUUCCCAGAGUCCAUAUCGACGAAAGGGUUUACGACCUCGAUGUUGGAUCAGGACAUCCUAAUGGUGCAGCCG